AUGACCUCAUCCAGUCAUCCAUGUCUCUGUUACAAAACCAGGUUUCUACUCUACCUCCCCCACAAUCUUCACCUUUUACUACUGUAACCGCCCCUCAUCUUGGAUUUCUCCGCCAAGUGGCGUGAGUAUCCUCCAUCCUCCACCAUCACAACUCUCUUUUCUCUUCUCAAUUCUAAAUUCUUGUUUUAUUCUUUACUUUUCUUCAAUUCUUAUCUUCUAUACUUUCGCUCUUAUUUUCAUACUCUUAUGUGUGUAUUUUUCUCUUUUUCUCUUUGAAGAUAACCUUCACACUUAGUUAAUCACUUGGUUAAGUUUGUGUCCAAUGACAUCCUCACUGAGUGUUCACCAUAAUUGAUAAUCAAAUUCCUAACUCAAGUGAAACUAAUAAAUUAAUGUGUAUGUCUUGUAAUUCAACUCAUAUGAUGUGGUAUUUAGAGCAUGAUUUAAUUCAAAUUGAUCUUUGAUUUGAAAUAACUUGUUUAAUUUUUUUCAUGUUUCACGUGAGCAUAAUUGAAUUCGACAAUUG
rnacentral:lncRNA from 1 species